GACGUAGGGCGCGAGCGUUGUCCGGAUUUAUUGGGCGUAAAGAGCUCGUAGGCGGCUCGUUGCGUCGGCUGUGAAAACCCGCAGCUCAACUGUGGGCUUGCAGCUGAUACGGGCGGGCUGGGAUUCGGUAGGGGAGACUGGAAUUCCUGGUGUAGCGGUGAAAUGCGCAGAUAUCAGGAGGAACACCGGUGGCGAAGGUGGGUCUCUGGGCCGAUAUCGACGCUGAGGAGCGAAAGCGUGGGGAGCGAACAGG
rnacentral:rRNA from 1 species